rnacentral:snRNA from 1 species
CGACCUUGAUCUUCUGAGAAGG